GAUGAACGCUAGCUACAGGCUUAACACAUGCAAGUCGAGUGGAAACGACAUCGAAAGCUUGCUUUUGAUGGGCGUCGACCGGCGCACGGGUGAGUAACGCGUAUCCAACCUGCCCACCACUUGGGGAUAACCUUGCGAAAGUAAGACUAAUACCCAAUGACGUCUCUAGAAGACAUCUGAAAGAGAUUAAAGAUUUAUCGGUGAUGGAUGGGGAUGCGUCUGAUUAGCUUGUUGGCGGGGUAACGGCCCACCAAGGCGACGAUCAGUAGGGGUUCUGAGAGGAAGGUCCCCCACAUUGGAACUGAGACACGGUCCAAACUCCUACGGGAGGCAGCAGUGAGGAAUAUUGGGCAAUGGACGAGAGUCUGAACCAGCCAAGUAGCGUGCAGGAGGACGGCCCUAUGGGUUGUAAACUGCUUUUAUAAGGGAAUAAAGUGAGUCUCGUGAGACUUUUUGCAUGUACCUUAUGAAUAAGGACCGGCUAAUUCCGUG
rnacentral:rRNA from 1 species